UGUAGCGGUGAAAUGCGUAGAUAUAUGGAGGAACACCAGUGGCGAAAGCGGCUCUCUGGUCUGUCACUGACGCUGAGGCUCGAAAGCGUGGGUAGCGAACAGGAUUAGAUACCCUGGUAGUCCACGCCGUAAACGAUGAGUGCUAGGUGUUAGGCCCUUUCCGGGGCUUAGUGCCGGAGCUAACGCAAUAAGCACUCCGCCUGGGGAGUACGACCGCAAGGUUGAAACUCAAAGGAAUUGACGGGGGCCCGCACAAGCGGUGGAGCAUGUGGUUUAAUUCGAAGCAACGCGAAGAACCUUACCAGGUCUUGACAUCCCGAUGCUAUUCUUAGAGAUAGGAAGUUACUUCGGUACAUCGGAGACAGGUGGUGCAUGGUUGUCGUCAGCUCGUGUCGUGAGAUGUUGGGUUAAGUCCCGCAACGAGCGCAACCCUUAUUGUUAGUUGCCAUCAUUAAGUUGGGCACUCUAGCGAGACUGCCGGUAAUAAACCGGAGGAAGGUGGGGAUGACGUCAAAUCAUCAUGCCCCUUAUGACCUGGGCUACACACGUGCUACAAUGGUCGGUACAACGAGUUGCGAGCCGGUGACGGCAAGCUAAUCUCUGAAAGCCGAUCUCAGUUCGGAUUGGAGGCUGCAACUCGCCUCCAUGAAGUCGGAAUCGCUAGUAAUCGCGGAUCAGCACGCCGCGGUGAAUACGUUCCCGGGCCUUGUACACACCGCCCGUCACACCACGAGAGUUUGUAACACCCGAAGUCGGUGAGGUAACCUUUUAGGGGCCANCC
rnacentral:rRNA from 1 species